rnacentral:lncRNA from 1 species
AUUUAAACCACCACUCAGAAUAGAGUCACUUGUAAAUUCAGCUUUACCUGCUUGCAGAAAUAGCAAUUCAAAUUAGUUGAUCCCUGUUUCUCUGUGGCCCAUAAAUAUGUUGCUUUUCUCCAGAAUGUCAAUUAAAAAGGUCUUGUAAUGUAUCAGUGGAGUGCUAUAGGGGACUCAAUGACCAGACUGGCAGAAUAUUAAUUUCAACUGAGUUGCAGGAUUCCUGAACAGUCAAGGAAGAACAAGGGUAUGUAAACCCAAAGCCAACUCACAUUAACUCAAGAACGGGCUUUGUGUGUUCUAACCAAUUAUACCUCCU